UACGUAGGGUGCGAGCGUUAAUCGGAAUUACUGGGCGUAAAGCGUGUGUAGGCGGACGCCUAAGUGUCUUGUGAAAUCCCCCGGCUCACCCGGGGAACUGCUGGGCAUACUGGGCGUCUUGGGCCAACUAGGGGCAGCCGGAACAAGCGGUGGAGCGGUGAAAUGCGUAGAUAUCGCUUGGAACGCCGAAGGUGAAAACAGGCUGCUGGGGUUGCGCCGACGCUGAGACACGAAAGCCAGGGGAGCAAACGGG
rnacentral:rRNA from 1 species